GCCUUCACCCGCCGCCUUCGCGGGAACUCGGCGUUUGAACGGUGGGGCGUGGCUGCAGCUGGCGCGGCUCUUCCAGGUGGGGGUUUCCGCGUUAGGAAGCUUCGAUUGGCUGUUGCCGGGAGGGGCAAGGGCAAGGCUGAGGCCCGGGCGACUCCAGUUUAUAGGGUCUUCGUCUUCAGUCCUGGAGCUGGGAGACAGCAUUAAGGACUGGCUGUGCAGGAGGACUCACCCGGGUUCUUUGCCUGCCGGCCCGGAGCUCUGCGUGCACGUCGAAGUCGUCCCUCUCCAUCCUCACACUUUUCUCGAGGUGACAUAAUUCCUGCCACUUUCGUCAUUGCCUACGUCUGACAGAACAGCUGGAGCAGGGCUAAGUGGUAGGUGGGGACAUUCUGUUCGCAUGAGUGAUUUUGUUUUUAAGCCGUACACCCUACCCAAGAGUGUGCACGUACAAUAAAACAUACCAGAUAACUUACCGCAUCUGAAGCACGUUAACAGGCAUGAAGAACACAGGUGUGGAGCAAAGCACCGUCCAGUGCAUUAAUUACACUGUCAAUUUCUUCUGUGGACUGAACUGUGUCUCCCCGAAUUCAUAUGAUGAAGCUCAGUUUCCCAGUGUGAUGGUAUGUGGGGGUGGGGCUCCUGGGAGAUAAUUAGGUUUAGGUAAGGUCUUGAGGCUGGGGCCCUCAUGAAGGGAUUAGUGCCCUUAUUAGAGAUACCAGAGAGACUCUUCUUCUGUGUGUGUGUGUUUCUCUCUCUCUCUUUUCUCUCUCUCUGUCACAUGAGGACAUAGAGAGAAGUUGGCAGUCUACAAGCUGGGAAGAGGGUGCUUGCCAGUUGGCUGGCAUCUUGAUCUGGGACUUUUAGUCUCCAGAACUGUGAGAAACUAAAGUUCUGUUGUGUAAGCCACCCAGUCUAUGGCAUUUUGUUACGGCAGCUCGAGCUGACUAAAACAAAUUCCCAAGCUAAGUAUUUGCUAUCUACCAUAACAUUUGUUUUCCAGAUGUGCCAUUUGCACUCAAAUCUGCAUGCAAAUUGAAUUAGCUAAUUAAUACAGGUAUACACUACCUCAGGAUAGGAGUCUCCAGUGACUCCCUUCCCCAUUAAUUCCCAUAUAUUUAUAUAUCUUCACUUGGAACUCCUGGAUUAAACUCCCUUGUCUCUUCAUUUAACUGUAAAGCACUCAGACAAUUUUGUCCGAAUGUUCCUCUGUCCACAUUUGCCUUGAUAUCCUCUUUCCUGAAACUUCAUACUUAUCCUUCCCCAAAUUAGGCUCAUGGGCGGUGGACCCAAACAAUGAUCCCAUUUUGUAGCAAAGCCCAUGCUUGGACCUCAUGUCUAUACCCUGUUCUUUCCACGAUCAUGUUAAGAAUUUAGAAGGCGAAAUGCAGGUAUCUGGUUUCCUUUUCCGGAGCAGAGACGAUUAAAAUGUCCAGCCUGUCUAUGAUGCCCAACACUUAUGAGUUCUGUCUCCUUUACGCGCCUGUCUCAUUUAGCCCUCACCACAGACUCUGUGGAGUAGUGGGGAUCCCCUCCCUGGAGGGAUGAGGGCAGUGAGACAAAGAAAGAUUAACUGGCAAAGAUGACGGCCAGCGAAGGAUGUCAGGGUUUCCCCGCAGGCAGUCUGAAUCCAGAGGUCACCUUCCUGACUACUGAGAAACCCAGAUGUAUUCGUUGGGCGUCCCACCAAAAAGGAGCAAGAGGUCAAAGUGGAGAGCCCUAAAAGGGAGUAUUUGGCAGCCUCAAUUUUAUCUUGCUGCAGCUUUCUUCUCACGGGGGCUCACGUGUUGGCUCUUCCUUUUGUGUGAAAGGAUUACUAAAUAUCAUAGUUGCCACUUAGCUUUCUAUUGCCAGGUUGGGACGGCUCCUGGUUUACUGCUUCUGAGCGACCCAAACUGAAUACUACCCUGGAUACCUUCCCUCGAUGAAGAAAAGUUUUGAGCAAGGAAUUUGGACUGGAAACUUAGACUUUAGAACUUAGUACGUGUACGUUCGGACCUGACGUUAGGUCCUAAUACUGAUCGGGUUUUUUCGCACAGCAUCCCGAUCUGUCAGUUCUGGGACUAGGAGGUAUUUGGCCCACGUGUAGGAGUAAAGGCCAUCCUGACAUCAGCACCAUUUUAUUGGGGGGGGGGAGGGUCAUAUCUUGGGUAUUGAGAAGAGGAGAUCCUCCAACAAUUCUUAGCCGCCAGCAGGGUGGUACCAAUAGCUGCCGUGAGAUUAUUAAACAGUACGAAGAUUCCCUACAGACAGACUCAAGAACUGGUAGCAUUUGCCUUCAGUCAUGGGAGACCAUAACAAAAACACGCUCUCAUGUGUUUAUUUGGGCAGCAUCCUGUGGUAGCACAGAGUAGCCAUGCAAUCAACACGCAUGGGGUUGAAUGGACAUCUGUGGGAACCAGGGCAAAGAGUGCAAAGGGGUCCCCUGUCCCCUGUCUGAAUUUAGUCUCCCCUUUUGAGAGCAAACCGGAUCCUAACAUGUGACAAAGCAAACAUCUGGCAUUAGUUUUUCUGUCCCAAUGGUGCUCCUGUUCUACCUUGUGUGUGCAGCUCUUUGCUCAGAAUGAGAUGGUGGCAUCUUUAUAAGUAAAGGAAGCACAGUGUGAUAGAAAGGGUGUUGCUUUUGGAGUUCAUGCAUCUGGGCUCAAGGGCCAGCUCUUUUUGAUACUUAAAGCAUGAUACUUAACUGCUUUCUCCUGGUUUAUGGUUAGAUCUCAGCUUCACAAGUUUGUUGUAAAGCUCUGGUGCUCCUAACCCAUGAUGGCGGCUCAACAUAGUGAACAUCAGCUCCCUGCUCCUUUCCUCCUAGAGGGAAUGGAUGGUAUCACUUAUUUCUGCAUUCCUAACUCCCAGCAUAUGUCUUGGCACACGCGGAAUAUCUGGAAAUGUUUGUGGAACAAAUAAAAUCUUUUUUCCCACUGUAUUAAAAUCGCUCUCUCUGUGUUGGUCAUCUAGUUGGUUCUCAAACACUUAAAAAAUUUUUUUUGUGGGGUGCCUGGGUGGCUCAGUCAGUUAAGCUUUUGGCUCUGGCCCAGGUCAUGAUCUCGUGGUUCAUGAGUUCGAGCCCUGUGUUGGGCUCUGUGCUGACAGCUCGGAGCCUGGAGCCUGCUUCAGAUUCUAUGUCUCAUUCUCUCUCUGCCCUCCCUGCCCCACCCCCCCAGCCAACUUGUGCUGUCUCUCUCUGUCUCUCAAAAAGGAAUAAACGUUAAAAAAAAUUUAACUUAGGUGUAAGUUAUUUACAUACAGUUAUUUCAGUUAUAUACUACUAUAUUUAUAUAUUUAUUAAGUUAUAUAUUAGAUUAUUUACAUAAAUUGCUAGAUCUUAAGAAAGCUUAGUAAAUUUUUACGUAGGUAUACAUACACCCAUGAAACCACCACCUAGAUAAAGAUAAAAAACAUUUCAGUUGCCCCAGAAGGUUCUUCCUGCUACUUCCCAGUCAAUACUUCCCCUGCCAGAGGAAAUGAUUAUGGUGACUUCUGUCCUCAUAGAUUCGUUUUGCCGGUUCUUGGAUUUCAAAUAAAGGAAUCUUAUAGUGCA